GGUUUCAUAGUAUAAUGGUUAGUACAUAAGAUUCUGAUUAGAGGCCUACAGCGCUUCGAUCAUUCUUGUGAUCUGGGUUCGAUUCCCAGUGAGACCU